GCAUUGGUGCAUCAGUGAUAGAAUUCUUGCCUUCCAUGCAGUAGAUUCAGGUUCUAUUCCCGGCCAGUGCA
rnacentral:tRNA from 1 species